rnacentral:misc_RNA from 1 species
UUAAAUUUUCCGCAUCUGUUUCAGAGGUAAAUUAAUAUAAAUUGAACAAGAAGAGUUACCCAAUAAACAGAUCAAGAUGGGUUGCUUCUCCAAGUUUUUCCUGUUCAUCCUGAACUUCAUUGUCUUUGCUAUGGGUGUAGCCGUCAUUGUUCUGGCCUCCCUGAUCUUGGCCAACAGCGACGACUUCAAGGUCCUGCUUAGCGAUGGAGUUUUCACGCUACCCAUCAUCCUCCUCAUUCUGGGCAUCAUCGUGAUGCUCAUUGGUUUCUUUGGUUGUUUUGGUGCGAUGCGAGAGAGUCCCUGUCUUCUCUAUACCUACGCCACUAUUGUAUUGGUUCUGCUCUGCGCCCAAAUUGGGGUUGCAGUCUACGGUCUUGUAGAAAAAGAUGAAAUUCAAGAGAAGAUUGCGAACAGCAUGGCCGAAGUGUUCAGCAAGUAUGGUGGUGAUGACACAGAACUGAAUAAUGCGCUGGACGCAGCUCAGCAUCAGCUUCAAUGUUGCGGAGUGUACAACUACACGGACUGGAAUUCGGGCUAUAUCAACUCCCCAUUGCCCGCCAACACUGUGCCCCCCGGGUGCUGCAAGACUAACGUCACGGGCUGCUACCAAAAUGUGAACACCAACCCCGACAAUAUUUACGUCACUGGAUGCUACACUCUCCUUGUUGAUACCAUAAGGGGACAGGCGUUAUGGCUUGCGAUCGGAGCGAUAAUUUUGGGACUUGUACAGCUUGGAUGCGUCCUCAUCGCAUGCGGUAUCGGCAAGAGGGGCGGCAGUGAUCAUCGGGUGUAUUAGAUUUUGCGAGACUGAGGAAAUAGUUCGACUAUGAGGAUAGUCUACUGUAACAUGGAAAUGAGUUCCGAAAACAAGUUUCUUAUUUUUGUAUAUAUGAUUCCUGUUUGUUUAGCACCCAUUAUCGUAGAGGUUUUUGUCGAAUGUCAAAUCCUCACAUGGUUUUCUAACGAGCUGUUUGCCCUGACUAGUUUGUUUAAAGGAUUCAUUUAGUAAAUCGUAUUCGAAAUGGAGAAUCAGGGUAGCUUAUUGCAGUGUUUGAGGUUCGAAAUUUAUGGACCUAAACCAUACUGCUGAAAGUGAUAUCAUUUACCCUGUAUUUGUAGAACUAAGUUUAAUCCGUAUUAUUCUCGAUCUACUUACGUUUAUCGCUUGAACUACAGUAUUCUACACGUACUUGACGCAACAGAUUUUCUGCGUACUUAGCACGUGAGACUGCUAACUACAUUAUAGGCACUAAUUAUCAUGUACACAUUGUAUGUUGUGAAUUAUUUUAAUAAAUGGUAAUACGAAGU